rnacentral:sRNA from 1 species
AUGCCCACAGCAAUGCAAGCUGUUUUAUUUACAGAAUGUCCUCCAGGAUACUUUAACCCAAACAAUGAUGACAACUGCAAGGUCUUUUGUCGUCAUCCAUCAUACGGAGCUCUUUGUGGGGAUUUCUGUAACUGUUCUAAAGAGGACUGUCACCACGUCUACGGAUGUCACGUGACCAGUAUUAAAGGAACUACUCAGAAAACACCUGAAAUCCAUUAUUCAUCAUCUGCAUUUUACACAGAGCUGAUGGAAGACCAUAUUGCUGUUCAUAUUUUUUUCUCAAGAACAAUGAAUGUGAAGAAUGUCCUCCAGGAUACUUUUACCAAACCAACGAUGUCAACUGCAGUAUCCCGUGUCGUUAUCCAUCAUACGGAGCUCUGUGAGAGGGUCGCUGUAACUGUUCUAAGGAGGACUGUCACCACGUCCAUGGAUGUCCUCUAGCCAGUCGAAAGACCGAAUCGAGAUUGGGAAACCACGUGAUAUAUUCCUGAGAUUUCUGUAACAACAGACAGCGAUGUCCGGGCAAUGUGACACUGCCUUACCGUCCUUUCUGUUUCCUUGGUUCUGUAGCUUGGUUAUUGUGUCCGUCACGGAGUCGAGUCCAGGAAGAAAAAAAUCGAAUCAUGGUCAUUAAGAUUGACAAUCCAAGAACAGUAUAUCUGUCAUUGUUUUCAACAGGAGGAUAUAUUAUUAAGUGUUUGUCAAUAUAUUGUCAUUUAAUAUAAAUACUAUAUAAUCUUAUUAUAAUUUACUACUCAGUAGUUCUGUCAAUCUGACUCAACCAUAGUGACGUCAACCUACGUAACGGAACGGAUACACC